rnacentral:misc_RNA from 1 species
GGGACACAUUCGCAAUUCAUAAACAAUAAUCAUGAAGAGGAAGAAACAUAUAUAUUCAUUCAUUCUCAAAUUCACAGUUGCAAUAACAAGAAAUUUUAACAAACACUAAUAAAAAAAUCAGGGCAAUACACAAAUACACUGGUAUGAAUUGAAUCUACACUUGCAAGGCAAGGUCGCGAUGAAAGCCGCAAAGGGCUAUAUUGCUGUAGGUGAGGGACAAGCGAAAGGCUUAGAGCUGAGGUGAGGGCCGAUGGGCAAGUGAAGUCACGAUGGGUGGGGUUGGCAAGGCGAGGUCGCCAUUUGCGAGGCCUUAUUGGGUGUUGAUGAAGCUACGAUUUACUACAAAGAGUUGAAGGAAAGGUGGGAAGAGAAGAUUGUUUGGAGAAGAAGGAGAACACAAUGCUGAAAAGAAGAUGAAGAAGAAACUAGAAAGGAGUGA